UACGAAGGGGGCUAGCGUUGUUCGGAAUCACUGGGCGUAAAGGGCGCGUAGGCGGCUUUAUAAGUCGGGGGUGAAAGCCUGUGGCUCAACCACAGAAUUGCCCUUCGAUACUGUAGAGCUUGAGACCGGAAGAGGUAAGUGGAACUGCGAGUGUAGAGGUGAAAUUCGUAGAUAUUCGCAAGAACACCAGUGGCGAAGGCGGCUUACUGGGACGGUACUGACGCUGAGACGCGAAAGCGUGGGGAGCGAACAGG
rnacentral:rRNA from 1 species